AGGACAUGUGGAUUUUAUUAUCUGCCUGAUUAAAUAACCCAGUUUUACUAGUUAUUUUCAUAAAUAAAUAAAAUAUUAAAUUCAAAAUGGCGGCAACGACACAAAUAUGGCGGCCCCGACGUCCGUUUUGUCCGUUUUGUUGGAACUCUAUUUCAAAAUUUUAACACCAACUGGCUUUUUAAUAUUUAAGUUAAGUUUCAAAAUACACAAUUAUGUUUAUUUGGAUUUAAAAUAAAUUAAUAAUGAAUUAUUUAUUUAUUUAUUUUCAAUCACGUGACUUAUUCUAAGUCUCUGAUUGGUCAACAACAGAGCGCGGAUUUUUUCAUGGACGAUUUGAAUGUUGGUGUGUUGAAAGUGUUGAUAGAAAAACGAUGACAAAAUCAUUCGCAGUAUACUGGUACAUUAUUUCUUUCCAUGAGCAUCUCAUGUCUGUGCCAAGCUGGAGUGAAAUCCUUCAAAAAUAUCACCUGUUUUAGAAUUGAAGAAAAAUGAAGAGAAGGUUGAAAUUGCAAGCAUAUUUCAAAUGAAGACUCGGACGACUACCAGUGCAGGCCAUUGAGAGGCGCAGACCAUCUGCCGGCCAGCUAAGUCCCUCGACCAGCUCGGCCAAAUACCAGUGCAGCCUGUCGAGGGGGACAUACUGCUGGCCAGCCAAGUCCCAUGACCACUUCAGCCUACUACCAGUACAACCUGUCAAGGGGCGCAGACCGCUGGCCGGACGGCCAAGUCCCUUGACCAGCUCGGCCGACUACUGGUGCAGCCCGUCUUUAAAUAAUCCAGAUAAAAAUCACAACUGUACAUCCACAAGGAUACCUGUGCAAGGACUUGGGUGGUAUGCAGCUAAGAACUGUGACCGAAAUCACUGCUUAGAACCUUCUUCUUUUUUUUUGAAGUACAGCUAGAUCAUGGCGCUAACAUGAAAAACUAGAGAGUUAAAAUCUAGGCAGUGAUGCCUAUUUAUAAAAGUUCACAAGAGUAGAAUGCAGUUUACUAGGUAAUUUUACAAAAACUCUUAUGACUAUAUGCUAAAAAAAUGUAUUUUAAGAAAACAACCAUUCUGAGAAAUUUCAAUCUGUUAUGAUGGCUUGAUGAAAAAUAAGGUAGACUUGAAAACAUGAAUGUGCAUUCAUUCAAUUGUAUUUGACAAUGAACC